rnacentral:lncRNA from 1 species
UCUCCGCCACGCGAACCGACGGAAUUACAAUUGGGAUCUGAGAAUCGGCGGCUUCCGGGGCUUUUCCGGCGGAAUCGUCGAGGUUGGUUAUGUGUUUUUGGUCCUCCAUCACUACAUAGACGGUGAAACAGAGUUUCCGGCGAGCCCUGUGGAGUGCUGACUUCUGGUUGCGGAGAUUUGGGAACAAGACGGUGGUGGGGUUGGGUUUUGGGAGGUGGUAGGAGGAGGAGUGGAUUAGGCGGAAGGGGGUGGGGGUUGUGACGGCGAAGAGUCCGACCGCCAUGGAAGUAUACUUGUUGGUGAUGAGGUUGAGCGUUGAGAUAGAGAGUUGAAGGUGCGUGGAAACGGAGCGAAGGGAGACCACAACUUUC